rnacentral:lncRNA from 1 species
AAUAAUAUCUUGCAAUUAAUUUGGUAAUUAAUCCCAAUUUGAAAAGAAUAAUUGGCAGUUACCUUGUGAGUGAUGAUUUGAUGAAGAGUGAUGAGAGAGUUUUGAAUAAAUACCAUUUUGAUCUCCUUUGAUCUUAAUUGAGCCGUUAUUGUCCGUUGCAUACGUGUGGGAAUCCCAGUGUGCCUUGAGGGUAAUUUUGUCUUUUUGUCUUGGUUCCAUUUCCUUGAGUUGAGUAGACUCCUCCAUGUAAACGAAGCGCAUGAGAGAGAGAGAAUCAUAGAAUAUUCAUGUUCUAACUAUUUAUAACAGCUAAAGCCCAUAUGACAUUCAUAGAGAGUGAAAGAGAGAGAGAAGGAAAGAAGAGUCAAGUUCUAACUAUUUAUAAUGACAUAAAGCCCAUGGGGCAUUCAUCAUUGUCUUGAGCCUAAUUAAUAAAAAUGUGUCAUUAAUUAAGUCCAAAACAAAAAUAUGUCAUUGAUAUAUGGCUAGAUCGUAAAGUUUUUAUUGACUUUUACUAAAAUUACCUUUAUUUUAUUGUUUAACUAAUUAGUUAUAGGGGUAAAUUUGUCGAUUUAUUAGCACACUUUUAACUUAAGAGGUUAUGUGAAAAUGAAUUAAAACCUGAAGGGGUGUUAGUGUCAUGUCUCAAACAUAGGUAGAUUUUGGGAAAACUUGAUAAACCUCAUGAAGUGUUUGUGUAAUUAACCCUUCCACAAAGUAAUUUCUUUUGUUCUCUUAUCUUAUAGGGUUUAUAAUUUUUUUGUAUUAUUUGGAGGAUUUUAAAGAAGAAAGUAGUAUGAAUAGCAUAUAUCCAAGCUAUAAAGGAUAUGUAUGAUGGAGCAAGGACUGUCGUAAGAACUCAUGAAAGGCAAACUGAAAGCUUCCCCAUAACUGAAAGGUUGCAUGAAAGCUCAUCUUUAAGUCAUUACCUUUUUGCAUUGGUAAUGGAUGAGUUAACGAGACAUAUUCAAGAUGAUAUUCCUUGGUGUAUUCUUUUCGUAGAUGAUAUAGUGUUGAUAGAUGAAACUCAGGAAUGAGUAAUUGCGAAGCUUAACCUUUGGAGAGAAGUGUUGGAAUCUAAAGGUCUUUGCCUAAGUGUUGGAGUGCAAGUUCAGUGCAAACGUAGGCUCAAAUGAAUUAGGGAUGAGGAUUGGAUAUCAGAAAGUACCAAAGAGGGACCAUUAUUCACUACCUAAGAUCUAUCUUGCAAAAGAACGGAGAGUUGGAUGGAGACCUCAACCAUAGAAUACAAGCUGGAUGGAUGAAGUGGAAGUGUGACUGUCGUAUGCCACUGAAGCUCAAGGGAAAAUUUUAUAGAACGGCAAUAAGGCCGGCAAUGCUUUAUGACACGGAAUGUUGGGUGGUGAAGCAUCAACACGUACAUAAAAUGGGUGUAGCGGAGAUGAGAAUGCUUCGUUGGAUGUGUAUGCACAUGAGAAAUGAUAAGAUUAGGAAUGAGGAUAUCCGAGGUAAAGUAGGAGUAGCCGAAAUUGAAGGAAAGAUGAGAGAAAAUCGAUUACGGUGGUUUGGACAUGUCAAACGAGGGCCUACUGACGCUCCGGUUAGAAGAUGCGAUUAUGAGACAGAGGUUCAGGGCCAAAGGAGUAGAUGAAGACCUAAGAAGACUUUGGAAGAGACUUUAAGAAAAAACUUAGAACACUUGGAUUUAACGGAAGAUGUGGCACAAUACCAAGCACAAUGGCGUUAUAUGAUUCAUACAGCUGACCUCACUUAAUGAGAAAAUGUUUUGUUGUUGUUUGUUUGUUUGUUAUUAAGGUUUAUAAUUAAAAAGAGAUAUUAGACAAGGAAAGUAACUAUACCCUCGUUAUUGAAGAUUCCAUUGAAAAACAAAGUCAAUAGCUUUAUGAUUACCACACAAAAAAAAGGUCAAUAACUUUAUAUAAUUACCUGGUUUGAGGAUUUUCCGAAUUUAAAAAGAUUGCUGGUUUUUUUAGUUUUGGUAUAUGCACUUGAAUUUUGAAGGUGAAUUAUUAGAAUAACUAUACCAGUUUUUGUCUUCCUCAAGCUGUGGAAAACAUUUUAAUAAGAAAAUGGAGGAUGUAAACUCAAUUAAUUUAAUCAAGAGCCCAUUUAAAACACAAGGUAAUCACUUUUUCAUUUUAAAAGAUGUGCCGGUGUAGAUAUAAUAAGUGGGGAGAACAAAAUGUUUUACACAUGAGGCAUGUACAUGAACUGCCGCCAGCCAGAAGGGCAAAUGAAUCCUUUGCAUGCCUUAACCUAUUCUUUCGUUUUGAGCAUCAUCAAUGAAUAGACGGGGUCACGGGCUGUAUAAUAUACAUGUUGGCCGAAAAAUAUAAAUUUACAUCUUUUUACAUUUUGAGGUGGGAUUUUUGGCAGAGCCAAGAUUUCAUGUGAAGAAUGACCUUUUCCAAUUGCAAAAAAAAAAAGACGGAUAACAAGUACAAAAUUAUUAACCCAAAACAUCAUAAUAACACAUGCAUUGAUAAUAUAUACUCAAUAAUCAAAACCUCUUACGAAUUGUCAUAUUUUGAAAUCGUUGAAUGAUGAACAAUCAACAAUAAAAGGUAUGAUAAACGAUCAACAAUAAAAAAAUUUAUAGAGAAUAAGAUAAAUUUUACAAAUAAUAUUGUUGUUUGUUGAAUUAAUUUGAACUUCCGUAUGACAAUACAUAUGAAAUUUCUAGAAAUGGGAAGAAGAAUAGCUUUGUAGUCUUGAAGUCCUACUUCCUGGGUUGCACCGUGAAAGAAACAGAUCAAAGAAGAUUUUUUUUUAGUUAAAGGUUAUUGAUUUUAUAUCAAAUAAAUAUGGUAAAAUAAAUAAUGUUGGGAUGGAAUCAGACCUAGGAGUUAGGAAUUUUGUAAUUUUUUUGGUACAAAGUUAAAUACGUUAUCAAACACAAAUAAGCACAAACAAAUAAAAGUGGACAUACCAAACUAGCCCAAAACCUAACCAACAAUUAUGGCCCAAACCGUAAAAUACAGCAAAAGAAGGCCUAGCCUUCCACUGCAGCCGCCACCGAGCAUCUCUACCAGCACAAUCCCACACCACCAACUGACCGACGCCCCGCCAAUUGCAACAUCAAGCCACGAGCACCUCUCCUAACACAAUCACAAAGAUGAGAACCAACAACCAAGUAAAGAAAGCCCGUGGGAUUCCACGAGCAACACUGCCAACAAAGGUAGAUAGUGAGAAGGUGGUGGUAUUGAACACCCGAUCCGAUGGGAACACUGGAAUUCUACACACCAUCUAGAAGUACUGCAACAAAUCGUUAUUAUGAAGCGACUGCAUAUCAGAGCAGAAAUGAGCAAGGAGGAGGGACGCCGAUGGGGUGUGAAGAAAUGGGUAUAUCAUGAAGGAUAGCAGGGGAGAAAUAGCAGAAGGAAAGAGAAGAGGAAAAGGAAAGCACAAUGGCGGAGCUAGAAAAUCAGAUUAGAAUGAGCCUUUAAAGCCCUACAAAAAAAAAAUUAGAAAAAUUAAUCACAAUACAAAUAAUGAGAGGAAAAUUAAUGUUUUUUUUUUGUAGUGAUAUGAAAAAUUUUAAUCAAAUAAGAACGGUGGAGCCUUAAUUUGUAUAAAAAUCUUAGUAUCAAAAUGAUUAUAUCAAUAAGAACAAAACUUGUUUACAAGUUUUGAUAUAAAAAAAUUUCACACAUUAAAUUCAAACUAAAUUUAAGGUUGUAACUUAAAAUAAGACAUUGCUCUCGAUUAUAUGGAUUUUUAUAGUUAAAACAUAAGGCCAAUUAUAACAACAACAAAAAAAAAUAAGGGUUAGCUUUAAUAUGGUAAAAAAAUAAGAUAAAUGAAAAGGGUUACUUUUAUUUCAGUAAAAAAAAAUAUUUGAAAGUGUUAGCAUACCAAAAGGUCUCAAACCAUGGCCUUUUGGAAGUGCAAAACACCACUAAACCAUGGGGCACACGCUAGUUUUUGUAAGCAUUUGUAGAUAAUAGGUAUUAAACAUUGUAAUUGUAGGGUAGGCCUAUGCCAAUUCUAGGCUCUAUGUG